rnacentral:pre_miRNA from 1 species
CUUGUACUCCCUCCGUCCGAAAAUACUUGUCAUUGAAAUGGAUGUAUCUCGAUGUAUUUUAGUUCUAGACACAUCCAUUUUGAUGACAAGUAAUUCCGGACAGAGGGAGUACUUG